CAACAAUGCUUGGGGGAGCUUCCGGGUUGGCAACAUUCUGUGUACAUUGUUACACAGUGAUAGUGGGGGAGGGGGAGUAAGACCCCACAAACCCACAGGGAGAGGUUGACUAGAAAUACCAUGUUUGGAACUUUCCUGGGCUCUGCCCUAUGAACCUCUUCCCUUGGCUGAUUUUGAUCAAUAUCUUUUAUUCUUAACAAACUGUCACCUGGAGAUGAAGAGCUUCCUAAUCCAGAUUAAUACACCUACCCGGCAUUAUUGGCUCUCAUCUCAUUGGCCAAGACUGCCUGAGGGCUCUUUAGCUGGGCAGGCGGCCACUUCAGCCACCCCAGGAUUCUGCUGAUAAGGAAGAAGGGGAGACAAGAUCUUGUCCACCAGUCUAUGGGAUUUUAUUACGAUGGCCCAAGCGGACUCAGAACCACCUCCCUCCCCCAGCCACACCAAGCUGUCCAGUUGUCCUGGCUGUGCUGCAGCUAAGCCUUCACUCAUGGUGGACCGCAGUACCUACUUCCACAUCCCUACAAAUUCUACUGGGACAGAUUCUCCAAGUUUGCUGAUUGAUAUAAGAAUUUGGAGAAGUCAAUUAGCAACGCUAUUGUCUGUCAUGAAAUCUAAUGUUUGAAUAGCAAAAGCAGACGCUGCGGUCUUCCUUGGCAUUCUUUCUGUAACAGAUUUGAAUUUCCCCCUGGCCAAAAAGACAUCUAAGGUGUAAUGGAGAAAAGAUUAUGGCCGGGAAAGGCAAAAGAGAAAAACACAUCAAAAUCAAAAGAAUACUACCCCGUUCUGAGUAUGUAAUUUUUAACAAAAAGUGAUAUCAUGUUUUAGGUACUUCUGAGCUCCUAACUUCAUUCACCUGAAAGUAUGUCCUUACCUUUCAUGUUGGCACACAGAGAUCUCUCUCAUUAUCUCUACCACCCCAGUCCUAGUCACCACCAUGCCUCACCUAGACCACUGCCUUAGUCUCCUGCCUGGCCACCCUGCACCCACUCCUGUCUUUUUAAAGAAGAUCUUCAAGAAAUAGGGGCGCCUGGGUGGCUCAGUUGGUUGGGCAUUCGACUUUGGCUCAGGUCAUG